rnacentral:rRNA from 1 species
ACCGGCGCACGGGUGCGUAACGCGUAUGCAAUCUACCUUUCACAGAGGGAUAGCCCAGAGAAAUUUGGAUUAAUACCUCAUAGUAUUAUAGAGUGGCAUCACUUUAUAAUUAAAGUCACAACGGUGAAAGAUGAGCAUGCGUCCCAUUAGCUAGUUGGUAAGGUAACGGCUUACCAAGGCAACGAUGGGUAGGGGUCCUGAGAGGGAGAUCCCCCACACUGGUACUGAGACACGGACCAGACUCCUACGGGAGGCAGCAGUGAGGAAUAUUGGACAAUGGGCGCAAGCCUGAUCCAGCCAUGCCGCGUGCAGGAUGACGGUCCUAUGGAUUGUAAACUGCUUUUGCACAGGAAGAAACACUCGGACGUGUCCGAGCUUGACGGUACUGUGAGAAUAAGGAUCGGCUAACUCCGUGCCAGCAGCCGCGGUAAUACGGAGGAUCCAAGCGUUAUCCGGAAUCAUUGGGUUUAAAGGGUCCGUAGGCGGUUUAGUAAGUCAGUGGUGAAAGCCCAUCGCUCAACGGUGGAACGGCCAUUGAUACUGCUAAACUUGAAUUAUUAGGAAGUAACUAGAAUAUGUAGUGUAGCGGUGAAAUGCUUAGAGAUUACAUGGAAUACCAAUUGCGAAGGCAGGUUACUACUAAUGGAUUGACGCUGAUGGACGAAAGCGUGGGUAGCGAACAGGAUUAGA